rnacentral:rRNA from 1 species
GAUCAUGGCUCAGGAUGAACGCUGGCGGCGUGCCUAAUACAUGCAAGUCGAACGCUUCACUUCGGUGAAGAGUGGCGAACGGGUGAGUAAUACAUAAGUAACCUAGCAUCUACAGGGGGAUAACUGAUGGAAACGUCAGCUAAGACCGCAUAGGCGUAGAGAUCGCAUGAACUCUAUAUGAAAAGUGCUACGGGACUGGUAGAUGAUGGACUUAUGGCGCA